UGUGCCAAAGAAAGCCGGGAGUUCGACCGGAAGAUCUCUGGGUGAGAUGGGAUGGUGAGCCAACCCAGGUGAAUUCACUAAUUAGCCGCUGUUGGUUGUAGAUGUCCGCGUUGAACACUUGGGGGCGGUCUCAGGUCCUCAGUCCUGACCUUGUCCCGGGAGGCCCCGGGCUCUGGGAGGCGCCAAACCAGAGCCGCAGCCUUAGGUGACUGGGAGGAGAGGUCCUCGAGUAGACGGCACCAAUGUUAUUCUUUCUGUGGGGGGUGGAUGCAGGGUUGGAGAAAGAACACGAGACACAUGGCGGUGCAGGGUUAGGAAGGAGACACGAGAUACACGGAGGUCCCACGUGGGUGAACUUUAAUGGAGGGGGGUGGCGACAGUUGAGGGACAGGGGUGAAGAGACAAAAGGAAAGAGAGCAACUUGUGGUGUCCCCCGUAUUUAACGGGGAACGCAGGUGCAUCUGGGAGAAUGUCCUGCGCAUGUGUGGCUUUCCAUUGGGCUGCGGGGAUUCGUAGUUCGGUGGGAUGCUGUAUUCUCUGUGCAUGUGCGGCCUUGUCUCCAAAAGGAACAACACUGAGGAGCUCCAUCUGGAUGGGUUAGUCAAUGGACUGACUGAAAUCUGAAGACAUCUCUGACCACAGAUAAUGCUGUCACUUCAGCGAUACCAAAUGAAACAGGCACACGCUUGGAACCACAUCAAACACUCACGAAGCACAGCUAGACACGAAAUAAGCUGCCCAACAUAAAUCAGAGCAAAUGCUGCAAAGUCCUAAGUGAAAGGAGGAACUGGAGUAAACACUAUCAGAAGCAGGCUUUCUAAGGCGCGAUGGAGACGUGUGGAAGGAAGAAGGG